GGUGAUUCUGAAGCUUAUAUUGGAGCAGACAUUAAAGACAAAUUAAAAUGUUAUGACUUUGAUGUGCAUACAAUGAAGACACUAAAAAACAUUAUUUCACCUCCGUGGGAUUUCAGGGAAUUUGAAGUAGAAAAACAGACUGCAGAAGAAACGGGGCUUACGCCAUUGGAAACCUCAAGGAAAACUCCAGAUUCCAGACCUUCCUUGGAAGAAACCUUUGAAAUUGAAAUGAAUGAAAGUGACAUGAUGUUAGAGACAUCUAUGUCAGACCACAGCACGUGACUCCAGUCAGUGGUCCUGGUCCCACUGUCCCAGUGUAGGUUAGUAUUCCUUCACAUCCUCUCCAUGGCUUAAGAAUGUCCCACUUCCUAACGUGACUCCAAACUGCAUCUCUACAUUUAGGAACAGAGACCCGCCUUAAGAGACUGGAUCGCACACCUUUGCAACAGAUGUGUUCUGAUUCUCUGAACCUACAAAAUAGUUAUACAUAGUGGAAUAAAGAAGGUAAACCAUC
rnacentral:lncRNA from 1 species